GCAGCAGGGCAUUGCUUCAGUUUUAGGGGAACAUGAAUGUGAAGCCAUAGAUCUCCCUGGAAGUGGGCUGUGAUGCCUGAAUGCUCAGCUACUUCACUGAUACUGAAACUGCCGGUGGGUCCAAGAUGGAGGCAGAGGAGGGUGCUGAACUUGGCCAUGUGUCCCAGAAACACAUGGCAUAGAUACCCGUAUUUAGAACACUGACUCUUGAGAGCCAACUGAGAGCCAAUCGGGCAGCUUCUGCGUGGAAAACAAAAGAGAAACUGUGUAGAGAAUGUGGGAGAACCACAAGAGCUCUCUGGGAGCUGAGGGAACUGUCCGGGACUGAAAAACUGGAGGCAUAUGAAACAGAUGACCUGGAUCCGCAGCAUGGCACAUGCAAGCUCUUUGUGAGCCACUCGAGCAGAGAGAGGGAUUCUUCGCCAGCCAGCCCAUCUCAGUGGGAGGCCACCAGCUUGCUGCCCACCCCCUUCCCCCCCCCCCAGUCACAGCUACAGGAAAAGCACUGCAACAUCUCAUUGAGUUUGCCUCCCACCAGGCUCACUCUCCCCUUCCUUUUUUUUUUUUUUUUUUAAGAAUUCCUUUGUCAUUUUAAUCCAUCUCACAUAAGGCAGAAGUCAUGAAAUGACUGUGUGUAAAGUGGCCUGUACCAUCAGGGUCACGUGCCAAGAGGGCAUAGACUCAGACCACCUGUGACUGGUAAUGAAUGAGAGGAUGCCUUCGUGCUGAGAUCACACACAUCCAUACCCCAGUCCUGGCUGAAGUUUUUGACUUCUAGUCUUUAUCUAUUUGAAAAGGCAAACUGUUGAAAUAUAUGCAUAUUAUUGUCAA